UACGGGGGGGGCAAGCGUUGUUCGGAAUUACUUGGCGUAAAGGGCGCGUAGGCGGUUUGUUAAGUUGGAUGUGAAAACUCUGGGCUUAACCCAGAGCCUGCAUCCAAAACUGGCAGGCUAGAGUUUUGGAGGGGGAAGCGGAAUUCCUGGUGUAGCAGUGAAAUGCGUAGAUAUCAGGAGGAACACCGGUGGCGAAGGCGGCUUCCUGGACAAAAACUGACGCUGAGGCGCGAAAGCUAGGGGAGCAAACAGG
rnacentral:rRNA from 1 species